UACGUAGGUGGCAAGCGUUUUCCGGAUUUAUUGGGCGUAAAGAGAACGCAGGCGGUCUUUUAAGUCUGAUGUGAAAGCCUUCGGCUUAACCGGAGUAGUGCAUUGGAAACUGGGAGACUUGAGUGCAGAAGAGGAGAGUGGAACUCCAUGUGUAGCGGUGAAAUGCGUAGAUAUAUGGAAGAACACCAGUGGCGAAAGCGGCUCUCUGGUCUGUAACUGACGCUGAGGUUCGAAAGCGUGGGUAGCAAACAGG
rnacentral:rRNA from 1 species